UAUUCUGCCCCACGGGGAAGGAUGAGAAGCUUCGACUAAGGUUCGACUCGAGCGAAGCGAGAGAACGUUGCCGCAGGCAACGGCCCGAAGGGCGAGGCGCUUUAGCGCCGAGUAAUCCUUCC
rnacentral:sRNA from 1 species